AAUCUAUGAUGAGGACAUUGAUUAGUAAUCCUUUGAGUCUCUCCCAAGCUAUAAAUAAUGAUUCUCCUUCUCCCUAUUGGAAGUUUAUGGUUUUGCUUAUAAAUUU